AGUGAACGCUGGCGGUAGGCCUAACACAUGCAAGUCGAACGGCAGCACAGUAGGAGCUUGCUCUUACGGGUGGCGAGUGGCGGACGGGUGAGGAAUACAUCGGAAUCUACUUUUUCGUGGGGGAUAACGUAGGGAAACUUACGCUAAUACCGCAUACGACCUACGGGUGAAAGCAGGGGAUCUUCGGACCUUGCGCGAUUGAAUGAGCCGAUGUCGGAUUAGCUAGUUGGCGGGGUAAAGGCCCACCAAGGCGACGAUCCGUAGCUGGUCUGAGAGGAUGAUCAGCCACACUGGAACUGAGACACGGUCCAGACUCCUACGGGAGGCCGCAGUGGGGAAUAUUGGACAACGGGCGCAAGCCUGAUCCAGCCAUACCGCGUGGGUGAAGAAGGCCUUCGGGUUGUAAAGCCCUUUUGUUGGGAAAGAAAAGCAGCAGGUUAAUACCCCGCUGUUCUGACGGUACCCAAAGAAUAAGCACCGGCUAACUUCGUG
rnacentral:rRNA from 1 species